rnacentral:rRNA from 1 species
UACGUAGGGUCCGAGCGUUGUCCGGAAUUACUGGGCGUAAAGAGCUCGUAGGUGGUUUGUCGCGUUGUUCGUGAAAACUCACAGCUCAACUGUGGGCGUGCGGGCGAUACGGGCAGACUGAGUACUGCAGGGGAGACUGGAAUUCCUGGUGUAGCGGUGGAAAUGCGCAGAUAUCAGGAGGAACACCCGGUGGCGAAGGCGGGCUCUG